AAACCAGCACCUCAAGUGGUCAGGAUGAUUAUUGGGCCUAAAGCAUCCGUAGCCUGCUCUGUAAGGUUUCGGUUAAAUCUGUACGCUUAACGUACAGGCUGCUGGGAAUACUGCAGAGCUAGGGAGUGGGAGAGGUAGACGGUACUCGGGAGGAAGUGGUAAAAUGCUUUGAUCUCUCGAUGACCACCUGUGGCGAAGGCGGUCUACCAGAACACGUCCGACGGUGAGGGAUGAAAGCUGGGGGAGCAAACCGGAUUAGAAACCCGUGUAGUCC
rnacentral:rRNA from 1 species